CGCCCGGCGGAGCGGCGGGAGCGGCGGCGGGCGCGGGGCCCUCCCGGCGCUACCUGUGCGAGCGCCGCGGGGCCGGGCGGGGCCGGGAGCGCUCCCAGCAUGGACUUUGACGGUGGGUUUGCGUCUUUGCCGCGCAGGAGCCCGCAGGAGGCGGCGGCGUCGGUGGGACGAGGGCCGGAUCCCGCGGGCACCGCCGGAGGAAGGGGCAGCCCGGCGGCCGGGGACCGUGCGCGGCGGGGCCACGCUUCCAGCACGCUGCUCGCACGGACACCGCCCCGCCGCGCCGAUUUCCUCGGAAGAAGCACAAAAGGAGAUGUCCUGUUCUUUGAAAAUAACUGGAGCCACUGGCAAGAAGCAGCGACGCCGCACCGAACAAGGGAACCACUUCCAGGUUAUCCAAGCAUGCUGCUGAACUGACUUUUGCAGCUGCAUUUUCCAAUGUACCAUGGGAUGCAUCAAAUCCAAGGCUGCCUUCCAAGGUUCCAACGCCGUGCAGGAUGAGCGGAUCGGGGCAGGCGGCGAGGGCUGUGCCGGGGAGAAGUCAUCACUGCUGGCGGUGCAGGCGGAGGAGAAGGGCCCCUCGAGCGCCGCCGUGCUGGACUACGCGCACCGGCUCUCCCGGGAGAUCCUGGAGCAGGCGGUCAAGCAGUGGGCGGUGACCGAGAGCAAGUACAGCGACAUCCCCUUCAUCGAGAGCGACGUGCCCUGAGCCUCCUGCCAGCACAGCCCCUGCUGCCCCCUGGGCACCGCCGUGGGGAGGUGUCUGCAGGGAGAGCCUGAGAAAUCUGCCUUUCAGCCUAGAUUGCUAACAAACCACUUGGAUCGCAGUAGAACCUGUCCAUCAAGUGUCAUUCCUUGUCAGCCAUGUGUUGAGUGUACUCUGUCUUUGUACGUGUUGGGUGUGAGCAGAAAUCAGCGUUAAAAGGAGGAUGAGAAGACUGUGGCUGCCCUGCACCUCUGCAAGCACUGCCACAGAGGACAAAACGUGGAUUAUUUCUGUGUUCUGCAUAAAAGAUCAGUGGUCUGUCUGUAGGUGAGAUGAACUCUCUGUGCUUGGUGAUUUGUCUGCGUUUUGCUAAAGUGAAAUCAAGGUGUGCAUGUAGCAAAGGUUACUGCUAUCAUAAAUUUUACUUUUGAUUCUGUGACCUAACCAAAUCUGUAAAAUCACAAAAUGAUAAAGGUGAUGGGAGGCGCUUUGCAAACCCCAGUAGUAUUCAGGGAGCCAUCUGGAUGAUGAUGCUCUUCACCUUCCAUUGAAGUGAACCAGUGAGAGUGCCAGUGUCAAUAAGCAGUGCAUUAUCAUUAACAGAUGCUUCUGUAAAUGCUUGAGAGCUUGUCUCUAAAACCCU
rnacentral:lncRNA from 1 species